rnacentral:pre_miRNA from 1 species
AGUUCUACGCUGAGGUAACGGGAUCAAAGGUAGUGUUUUCGUAGUGUUUUCGAGUGUUUGAAGUGAUCGCUGAUUCCGAUUGUGCCUGGGUAGGUAGUGCA